rnacentral:rRNA from 1 species
AGAUUGAACGCUAGCGGGAUGCUUUACACAUGCAAGUCGAACGGCAGCGCGGACUUCGGUCUGGCGGCGAGUGGCGAACGGGUGAGUAAUAUAUCGGAACGUGCCCAGUAGCGGGGGAUAACUACGCGAAAGCGUGGCUAAUACCGCAUACGCCCUACGGGGGAAAGGGGGGAUCGCAAGACCUCUCACUAUUGGAGCGGCCGAUAUCAGAUUAGCUAGUUGGUGAGGUAAAGGCUCACCAAGGCGACGAUCUGUAGCUGGUUUGAGAGGACGACCAGCCACACUGGGACUGAGACACGGCCCAGACUCGUACGGGAGGCAGCAGUGGGGAAUUUGGACAAUGGGGGAAACCUGAUCCAGCCAUCCCGCGUGUGCGAUGAAGGCCUUCGGUGUAAGUACUACGUUUGUCGAGGAAGAACGGACGUGACCUAAGUACGGACGUCACUGACGUACC